AGGACUGUUGAGCCCUUUUGGUGUUGCGAGUUGAAGUUCAAGGUUUCUAAAAUGUUGUCUUGUAUUGAAAGGAGCUAAUGCCAUUAUAAAUGUUACUAGUUUUCACAUUUCCUAAGCAGCCUAGAGUACAGGGUGAGCAUUUUUAGAUCUCCUAAUGAUGUAUUGUGCCGUGGAAGUACUGUGUGUGAAUAGCAGUAGUGGGGGCAAAAGCAAUCUUCUCAUUUGGAAAUGUUGUAAAUAAUUUUAUUAUAUAGUGUUUUGGAUGUAUUUGUUGUAGAAAUGGACCAGUGAAUAAAGAGAAUCUAAGGAUUUGUACAAUGUGAAAUAACGUGUUAAAUAAAUGUCAUUGUCAUAGAACAUAAAGUUAUGUUAUUGGUAAGGGAUUUUUGGGUGAUCAGCUCUUUCUUUGGACCUUAACUAAGCAGACACAGCCUUGUGGAUGGAAUUCCUAUCUAGUCCUCAUUGAACCUGAGAUGCCCGCCUGGCAAGUUGAGGAAAAUGUACAUACUUGCUCCCUCACCUCAUUCUUGGCUUUGAAGAAACUAGCCCUGUUCAGCACUGUGCCAGUUUCCCCAUCUGCAGAAUGGCUGGCUCCAUGCUCCCUUAACAUACCUCCCAGUCUCAACCUCAAGGCAUCGUGGUUUGUUUGUGUGAACUGCGCUUAAUGGCCCUGUCAGCAAGGAGGUGAUGAUCAGGACAGGAUUCACUUCAGAGAGAAGAGCAGCUGGUGCUCCCAUGAAGGACCAAAUGCUAUGUGUGGAGAGGGCCACAAGAGGAGGACCCAAGAGGGACCUCUACAAGCUGAGAGUUGAGAGUGGUCCCCUGCC
rnacentral:lncRNA from 1 species